rnacentral:rRNA from 1 species
GAUGAACGCUGGCGGCGUGCCUAAUACAUGCAAGUCGAGCGAACAGACGAGGAGCUUGCUCCUCUGACGUUAGCGGCGGACGGGUGAGUAACACGUGGAUAACCUACCUAUAAGACUGGGAUAACUUCGGGAAACCGGAGCUAAUACCGGAUAAUAUAUUGAACCGCAUGGUUCAAUAGUGAAAGACGGUUUUGCUGUCACUUAUAGAUGGAUCCGCGCCGCAUUAGCUAGUUGGUAAGGUAACGGCUUACCAAGGCAACGAUGCGUAGCCGACCUGAGAGAGUGAUCGGCCACACUGGAACUGAGACACGGUCCAGACACCUACGGGAGGCAGCAGUAGGGAAUCUUCCGCAAUGAGCGAGAGCCUGACGGAGCAACGCCGCGUGAGUGAUGAAGAUCUUCGGAUCGUAAAACUCUGUUAUUAGGGAAGAACAAAUGUGUAAGUAACUAUGCACGUCUUGACGGUACCUAAUCAGAAAGCCACGGCUAACUACGUG